CCUCCAGAUUCACCAAUUUUGUCUGCCACGCUUGGCACUGUGAUAGCGAUACAAUGGAAAAUGUGAAUAAUUAUUUCAAUUUUAUUUCAAAAUGUUUUAAAAUUACAUGAAAUAUUCCACCGAAAUCCGAAACCGAAGCUUUCGUGAGAAAUCUAUAAUGGUGUGAAGGAGGUACAAAAGAUGAAGAUCAAGAACACCGAAAGAAUGAUCGAUUUCUAACCGAACACGUUACUUAAUUCUCCGGCGUACUACAAGUUUCUAUCCUACGAUGAAGCUUAUAUCUUCCAAUAUACAUAUUCAUGAUAUCAGGAUGUGUUUACUCAUCGUAAGAUUGCGGCGUGUUUCAUUCGUCGUUCGAAUCUCGUAGUUUCGUCAGAUUAAUCGUCGAGUAACGUGACAUUUUAUGUAGGAUUCAUCUCUCGCUGGUGAGAGAACUGUAGGAUGAUUAGAGCUAUUGCGAAGAAUAAUAUUUGAAUGUUCCGCGUCGUGAUGGAAGAACGUUGGAUUGUUCUUAUUUUCACUUCACCGAGUCAUCGUGUUCGAAAAUGCUUCCAAAAUGUAAUAGUAGUUUAAAGCCAUAUCUCGGUUUGUGGCUUCUAUAUUCUAGAAACAGGAUGUCAAGACCGGAUUGAUACUUAAAUCGAUUUGUGAGAUGAUUAAAUUUAGAGUUCGGGAUUCGUACCGUAGCUCUCGAUGCAGUAGUUGAUGUAGGCGGAAAACCGAUGAUCCAAAUGUUCGGAGUCUCUUUAUGCUAUUCGUGAACGAUUCACCAAAAAGGCUGAAACAGAAUUGCGCUGAAACUACAAAAGCCCAAGGGAAUGGAAAUGAAAUCAGCGCCGUGAAUUGAAUAUCAUUGGUUUAGAGUUGGACCUCGUAGUAAAGAAAUCUAAUAAGAAUAUUUGUAUGAGCUAUUAAGCUACUUGAUCACCAAAAAUUGAAAAACUGUACUAGAUAUUUAUAAUAAAAUUUUGAAAUCGAAUAUGUA